ACUUUGUGAGCUUGGGCCAGUAAACGGGUAAUAAGCCCAGUUUAAGAGUAAUAAACAAAAGGCAUAAGACGGUUCAUUUUCUCUCAUUCGACUGAGAAAGAAAAUAUACACAAGCAGAAGGAAAGUAAAGUGAGACUAGCAGCUAGAGAAAGAGGUAGAGUUCUUGGUUCCGGUUGUCUUCUCUAAAGUACACUCUCAUUACACUUCCAUUUGGUGAGUUCUCUGAUUUUAUUUUGUGUAACCAUCUUGAUAGAUGAUGAGCUUCAUAUUGUAUAUCCAAGAGUGUACUCUUGAUGAUGUUGUGAGCCUCUAGAUAAGUAGAGAAGAUCAUUGUAAUCCCAUUUAUAAACGUUGAUUAUAGUGGAGAUUUAAGAGGACUAAGGUCCCCGUGGUUUUUCCCGAUUUGGGUUUUCCACGCAAAAAUUCUUGUGUCUGCUAUAUUUCUUGUUAUUAGUUUUUAUAUUGUUUCUGUGCUUAGUGAUACUUGGCCAGAUUUAUUGUUGCAUUGUAGUGCUUGUUAAAUAACUCUGUUUUUGACACACAUAGAGGGAAAGUACUGGAGAUUGCUGCAGAAAGGUAGAUUUCCCUACAAUUUAGAUAGAUCCGAUCAAAAUCGGAUCCGUUUAAAAGCCUAAGUGGGUCUAAUCAAAACAAUGUGUUUGAUUGCAGAGCUUUAGGAAUUUUUGACAACCUGUAACAUACUCAGAAAAGAUAAGUCGAUUGUGAAUGCAGCGGUGCAACAAACAUCUCCCAUGUCCUCGACAAGGAUGUCAUCUCACCUUUCUAAUAGCUUAGUUUUGAAAUAUAAGUUUGAUCUGUUUUGAAAUAUAAGUUUGAUCUUUUAGCAUACACUUCUAAAUCUUUUGACCGCAUAGUUAAAAUCAUUAUUUUUGAAAUUUUAUUUUUUUGAAUAAAAAUAUAUGAUUAACACUAUAAUACAAAAAAAGAAAAUUUGAAAAAUAAUAAUUUUAGCUAUGCGGUCAAAAGACCUAGAAGUGUGUGUCAAAAAAU
rnacentral:lncRNA from 1 species